rnacentral:rRNA from 1 species
AAAACCGGAGAGAGCUAACAGGAUUCCCCUAGUAACUGCGAGUGAAGCGGGAAAAGCUCAAAUUUAAAAUCUGGCGGUCUUUGGCCGUCCGAGUUGUAAUCUAGAGAAGUAAUGCCCGUGCUGGACCGUGUAUAAGUCUCCUGGGAUGGGGCGUCAUAGAGGGUGAGAAUCCCGUCUUUGACACGGACUACCAGUGCAUUGUGGUAUGCUCUCAAAGAGUCGAGUUGUUUGGGAAUGCAGCUCAAAAUGGGUGGUAAAUUCCAUCUAAAGCUAAAUAUUGGCGAGAGACCGAUAGCGAACAAGUACCGUGAGGGAAAGAUGAAAAGAACUUUGGAAAGAGAGUUAAACAGUACGUGAAAUUGCUGAAAGGGAAACGCUUGAAGUCAGUCGCGUUGGCCAGGGAUCAGCCUUGCUUUUGCAUGGUGUACUUUCUGGUUGACGGGUCAGCAUCAAUUUUGACCGCUGGAAAAAGGCUUGGGGAAUGUGGCAGCAUUGGCUGUGUUAUAGCCCCUGGUCACAUACAGCGGUUGGGAUUGAGGAACUCAGCACGCCGCAAGGCCGGGUUUCGACCACGUUCGUGCUUAGGAUGCUGGCAUAAUGGCUUUAAGCGACCCGUCUUGAAACACGGACCAAGGAGUCUAACAUGCCUGCGAGUAUUUGGGUGGAAAACCCGAGUGCGCAAUGAAAGUGAAAGUUGAGAUCCCUGUCGUGGGGAGCAUCGACGCCCGGACCAGAACUUUUGCGACGGAUCCGCGGUGGAGCAUGUAUGUUGGGACCCGAAAGAUGGUGAACUAUGCCUGAAUAGGGUGAAGCCAGAGGAAACUCUGGUGGAGGCUCGUAGCGAUUCUGACGUGCAAAUCGAUCGUCAAAUUUGGGUAUAGGGGCGAAAGACUAAUCGAUCAUCUAUGCUUA